GACGAACGCUGGCGGCGUGCUUAACACAUGCAAGUCGAACGGUGAACUCCGCUUGCGGGGGGAUCAGUGGCGAACGGGUGAGUAACACGUGGGCAACCUGCCCUCAGCUCUGGGAUAACUCCAAGAAAUUGGGGCUAAUACCGGAUAUGACCGCUGACCGCAUGGUCUGGUGGUGGAAAGAUUUAUCGGCUGGGGAUGGGCCCGCGGCCUAUCAGCUUGUUGGUGGGGUAGUGGCCUACCAAGGCGACGACGGGUAGCCGGCCUGAGGGGGUGACCGGCCACACUGGGACUGAGACACGGCCCAGACUCCUACGGGAGGCAGCAGUGGGGAAUAUUGCGCAAUGGGCGAAAGCCUGACGCAGCGACGCCGCGUGGGGGAUGACGGCCUUCGGGUUGUAAACCUCUUUCAGCAGGGACGAAGCGAAAGUGACGGUACCUGCAGAAGAAGCACCGGCCAACUACGUG
rnacentral:rRNA from 1 species